rnacentral:misc_RNA from 1 species
AUCUUCUUCAUCGGAUCCGGAAUGCCAUCGCGUGAAUCCUGGCACGUAUAGUUCCUGUGUUGCAUACCCUUUUUAGCGGAAUUCGGAGUCGGAAAAGAUAAGUUUCGCCUCGUGCCUUAUGGUUCGGGGUGAACUAUGCAGCUGCACCCGUGUUCCAAGCAAAUGCCAUUUUGGCAGCCAUGGCCCAUGGGAUGCAGCUCGUGUUGGUUGGAUACGGAAUGCUUAUAUCGGGCUAGUGGGAACCUUUCCUUCAUGAGCCCGUUGUCCCUUUGUAUUUGAACGACCGAAGCGUCCGUAUUGGGACUUUCGGCAGUCGCGCAAUGGGCUGUCGUCGGUCGCCUGCGGAGCUCGAAGUCGCGGAAGAUGCUACCUGGUUGAUCCUGCCAGUAGUCAUAUGCUUGUCUCAAAGAUUAAGCCAUGCAUGUGUAAGU